ACGGCGGCGAUGAUAGCGAUGAUUUGUCGCUCGCGGAAUCGUUGGAAAAUAUCGAAAAAAUGGCGUUGGAUGCUUCGUUGGAGAAUAUCGAAAAUUGCGAGAGGAAUAGGGAGCAACAGCAGCAGCAGCAGCAGCAGAAAUCAUUGGAUAAUAGUAAUGCACAACAACAACAAGCAUCACAACAACAACAGCAAAGACCAACGUCAUCGU
rnacentral:ribozyme from 1 species